rnacentral:lncRNA from 1 species
AUACUAUAAAAACCAGACAAGACUGAAAAAGGACAACAAAUCCACCAUAUCGGUUUUCAUUUGUAAUAAAGGCCAGUGUUCCUCCAGGAAAUGGACUGACUCCAAGAAAAAGGAGAAAUCAUUCAAAAAUCCAGAUUUGGAAUCUCAGGAAAAUGUCAGAGAAAUAUCAUUUAAACAAUUAUGUCUUGGACAGCUCCGGGCUGCCUCCUUGUACCAGCUCCUCCCCUGCCGCUGCAGUGAACCAGGCAUUCCUCUGCCUGGCUUGCUGACCUUCGCUGAUUUUACUCGGAGCUAUUAUCCCAAUUGACUCAGCCUUGGCUGACAUCUGGAUGUAUUUUGUAACAGACUGUUUUCAUAAUUCCUCAGAAAAGUUCUCAGGAUUAAUACUUGUUUAUUUUCAUCUUCCACUGGACCUUAAAUGGAUCGGCAGCGCUCCUUACUGGAAGCCAUUUUACACGACAGGAUGGAAAAUCCAUCAGAUUUCAGGCUCUGUUGCUUCGACGAAACCUUGUGGUCACUGACGUUACACCGGGAUGGAGAUGACUGGCAUUGCCUUUACAUUGUGUUGGAAGAGCAGAGAAUUAUGUCUUGGUCUCAGAGUCGUCUCUACUGCAGAAGUGACGGGGCCUCUGUGAGGUUUGGGGCCACAGUGUACUGACCCGGGGGCCCAGCAUAAACAUGCCAGUCAGUAGUCAAGGCCCACAGCUGUGUUGGAGGUGCCUCGGGGACCAGCAGUGGUGGCCAGCAGGCUUUAGGACAGAAGUUCUGGGGAACUGACCAGUGGCCCAGGCCUGGGGCCUAGUCUCAUUUUAACUUCAUUUAGGUCUGUACUUGUUUUCUCUAAACACUGCCUGGUCCCUUUAUGUUACCAUGUGUGCUGUUUGGAGUUAAGUGUAUAAAUGUUCUGUAAUUAGUCUCCUCUGUGUCUGAGCUCACGGACACGUUCUUAUUAUUUACACUCUAUUCAACUUCCUCUUUUUUUUUCUUGGCCUGACUUAAAGAUGUUUGUCUGUUUGUUUUGUAAAAAUAACCAACUGUUUAUUUGACUUCCCCAUGAAGUAAUUUCCUUCUAUAUUAUUUAAAUGUGUGUUUAUAUUUUUUUCCUCUUGAUUUUGGAUUGUUUUAUUAUUUUGCUAUAACCUUAUGUUCAGAGCUUAAAUCAUUUACUUUAUUAUUUUUACUUCUAAGGGGAACUGCUGUAAAUUUUCCUCUGCGUGCCACAGUGAGUGGACUCUAGAAGUUUCUGGAUGGAGCAUCGUGAUCACAAUUCAGUUUUAAUUUUGUUUCCAUGCUCAGCUCUGGGUUUAUUUGGACGCCCAAGCACCAUCACCGUUGUCCUUCUUUUGUUACUAACUUUGGGCUUCAUUAUAUUGUAUAGAAGAAAGUUUUCCAAAGAAUUCCAACCUUAAAAAUCACAUUAAGAAUUUUUAAAGCCUCAAAUGCCAAUUUUUGAGUGUUCCAAAAACAUAGGAUAGAAUUUAUGUUGCCUGUAGACUGUAGUAACAUACACCAAGCAACACAUACUACCAUACGCAAACAUAGUAGCCAUGUGCUGGCAUCAUCUACAGGGAUUGUUUCGAGGAACCCUUGGAGAUACUAAAUUGGGUGCUGCCCAGAUGUAAUAUUUGCAUAUAACCUCCCCACAUCUUCUCCUGUGCUCUAAGUCAUCUCUAGAUUAUUUAUAAUAGCUGAAGGCAAUGGGGAAGUUGUCUAAACAAUUGCUCAACUGCAUUAAGUGAAUGAAGUAAGAAAAAGUCUGUACUUUCUCAGCACAGAUAAGAUUAUCUUCAAGGAUUUCUAAUUCAGAGUUGGUUGCAGAUCCCCAGAUGCAGAGAGCCAGAUGUGUGUCUCUACACAUCCUGUUGUGCCAGCUUCUUGGAGAAUCCUGACUAAUAUGGACCUCAAAUUUUUCAUGUCAAUUUUCCUGGUCAGAUAAAUAAAUUGUCUUGGAUUCCCUAAUUCUAGCUAUAC